rnacentral:misc_RNA from 1 species
AAGUCGUAACAAGGUUUCCGUAGGUGAACCUGCGGAAGGAUCAUUCAUAAUAAGUGUUUUACUGCACUUUUUUAAACAAGUACUCACCUUGUGUGCAAUGUUUGUUGUCGUGUCGUUUACGCGUCGCGGCAGCCAUAAUACCAACCCUUUAUUGUAAUUUUUUUUGUCUGAAGCUAUUUCGAAUAAUUAAUUCUAAAUACAA